rnacentral:rRNA from 1 species
UCUCCUGGGGAAACGGGUGGUAAUGCCGGAUGCUCCAGUUGAUCGCAUGGUCUUCUGGGAAAGCUUUCGCGGUAUGGGAUGGGGUCGCGUCCUAUCAGCUUGACGGCGGGGUAACGGCCCACCGUGGCUUCGACGGGUAGCCGGCCUGAGAGGGCGACCGGCCACAUUGGGACUGAGAUACGGCCCAGACUCCUACGGGAGGCAGCAGUGGGGAAUAUUGCACAAUGGGCGCAAGCCUGAUGCAGCGACGCCGCGUGAGGGAUGGAGGCCUUCGGGUUGUAAACCUCUUUUAUCGGGGAGCAAGCGAGAGUGAGUUUACCCGUUGAAUAAGCACCGGCUAACUACGUGCCAGCAGCCGCGGUAAUACGUAGGGUGCAAGCGUUAUCCGGAAUUAUUGGGCGUAAAGGGCUCGUAGGCGGUUCGUCGCGUCCGGUGUGAAAGUCCAUCGCUUAACGGUGGAUCCGCGCCGGGUACGGGCGGGCUUGAGUGCGGUAGGGGAGACUGGAAUUCCCGGUGUAACGGUGGAAUGUGUAGAUAUCGG